AUAUAAUAAUACCCCAGACUCAUCGACGUGAAAUGACUUAUCUUUUUAAAUAUAACAAGUCGCUGCUUUAAAAUUUAAUUUCUCUGUUACUUACAUUAUCUGCCUCGUUUUUUUUUACUGAUAAGUAAUAGGAUGUAAAUUAAUGAAUGUCGAUAUCGUUAAUAAUCACGUUGUUGGAGGUAAAGCUAUGUAUGUGGUCAGUUUUGUGAUAGUUGAUGGUUAAUGGCGAAGUGGCUAGAUGAACUCUCUUUGACUAGCUAACUCGUUCAAGGUCAGUUUCUUUGUAAUUGGCUAAGUACCGGCUAAGUUUGAAGCGAGUUGGCUGCAGUGAUCUGAAGACCUACGUACGCACUGAGCUCCCAAUAUUGCAUCGAGGCACGCCUUUCAGUUUAUCCCAUUACUGUGGUACUCUGACCGUGGAAGACAGGACAGUGUUUCUUUUGGCAUAAAUGUUAUUCUGCACGGAGUAAUCUGUGAUGGUACUAAUAUAACUAAUCACACUCACCCCUGUUUAGAUGCGGUAUGUUUAUUAGGUUUGGCAGAGCCCUAACCCGGAUCCGGGAGUCCCUGGGCAAGACUUGCUUUUUUGGGCACCAUCCACAUGAACGGGUGUCAUCACCAUCGUGGAGCUACCCAGUCGCGUCGCUGACUGCAAAAUCCCAGCCAUGGGUCUGCCUAUCAGGCGAUUGGCGAUACAGUGGGGACUCUCUCAUAGUUUCCCGUCUAGGACGAGGGAAAUGCUUUCUUGGGCCGCACCUGUACUUCCUCUCCUGCCCGCAAAGCUCAAGGCUCAACGUGCGGCUACAAUCCACAUCCGUGUCCUUACCGGGUAAAAAACAGGGAACCGCUACAGCGAAGAGGCCGCCCAAGGGACCAAGGACCAAGCAGCCCUCCCGAGCCAAUGUAGCCGCCCAAGAGGACGAUGGCACGGAAGUAAUGCAGUGUGUCGCUUUUGCCACUGCCGACCACUACGUGUUACCGUCGCUCUGUCACGACCUGGUAGUCAACGGGUUCUUUGAAGUCAAAGACUUUCCCAGAGAUGCUUCCAACGUCCUCGUCAUGGGAACAGAGAUGGCAGCGAAGCCCUAUGAUCAACCGCUUAUGUUUUUCUUCCGGGAAGGUGCUGUUGUUUUCUGGAAUGUGGAGGAGAGGACGAUGAAGCUGGUGAUGAGGACCCUGGAACUGCACGAGAUCCAACCAUAUGAGGUGGCCCUCGUGCACUGGGAGAACGAGGAGAUCGGCUACACCCUGGGCGCAGGGAGCUCCAGACUGCACCAUGGGAGCUUCCACCUGGACAGUGAGUUGGACCAGGACCUGGCUGUGCUGGAGAAGUUUGCGUUCUCCAACGCGCUCUCGCUGUCAGUGAAGUUGGCCAUCUGGGAGGUGUCUCUGGACAACUUUGUUGACUCGAUUCAGUCCAUUCCUGAGAUGCUCAAGUCGGGGAAGAGAGUGAGACUGUCCAGAGCAGAAGUCAUGCAAAAAAUUGACAUCGGAUCAACCUCAGCUCGGACCUGCUCAUCACCCCCGACUUCUACUGGGACAGAGAGAACCUGGAGCAGCUCUACGAUAAGACUUGCCAGUUCCUCAGCAUUAAUCGCAGAGUCAAGGUGAUGAAUGAGAAGCUGCAGCACUGCACCGAGCUGACGGACCUGAUGCGGAACCACCUGAGCGAGAAACACGGACUGCGGCUGGAGUGGAUGAUCGUCAUUCUCAUCACCAUCGAGGUAAUGUUUGAACUUGCAAGAG